UGGCGGACGGGUGAGUAACGCGUGGAAAACCUGCCGUAUACUGGGGGAUAACACUUAGAAAUAGGUGCUAAUACCGCAUAAGCGCACAGCUUCGCAUGAAGCGGUGUGAAAAACUCUGGUGGUAUACGAUGGUUCCGCGUCUGAUUAGCUAGUUGGUGGGGUAAUGGCCUACCAAGGCAACGAUCAGUAGCCGGCCUGAGAGGGUGAACGGCCACAUUGGGACUGAGACACGGCCCAACUCCUACGGGAGGCAGCAG
rnacentral:rRNA from 1 species